CCUACGGGAGGCAGCAGUGGGGAAUAUUGCACAAUGGGGGAAACCCUGAUGCAGCGACGCCGCGUGAGUGAAGAAGUAUUUCGGUAUGUAAAGCUCUAUCAGCAGGGAAGAAAAUGACGGUACCUGACUAAGAAGCCCCGGCUAACUACGUGCCAGCAGCCGCGGGAAUACGGAGGGGGCAAGCGUUAUCCGGAUUUAAUGGGGGUAAAGGGAGCGUAGGCGGCAGCACAAGUCUGGAGUGAAAUGCCGGGGCUUAACCCCGGAACUGCUUUGGAAACUGUGCAGCUAGAGUGCAGGAGAGGUAAGUGGAAUGCCUGGUGUAGCGGUGAAAUGCGUAGAUAUUAGGAGGAACACCAGUGGCGAAGGCGGCUUACUGGACUGUAACUGACGUUGAGGCUCGAAAGCGUGGGGAGCAAACAGGAUUAGAUACCCUUGUAGUC
rnacentral:rRNA from 1 species